CACGUAGGGCGCAAGCGUUGUCCGGAAUUAUUGGGCGUAAAGAGCUCGUAGGCGGACUGUCACGUCCGCUGUGAAAAGCUAGGGCUUAACCCUGGCCUUGCAGUGGAUACGGGCAGACUAGAGGUAGGUAGGGGGAGAAUGGAAUUCCUGGUGUAGCGGUGAAAUGCGCAGAUAUCAGGAGGAACACCGAUGGCGAAGGCAGGUCUGCUGGGCCAUUAACUGACGCUGAGGAGCGAAAGCAGUGGGGAGCGAACAGG
rnacentral:rRNA from 1 species